GACGAACGCUGGCGGCGUGCUUAACACAUGCAAGUCGAACGGAAAGGCCCUGCUUUUGUGGGGUGCUCGAGUGGCGAACGGGUGAGUAACACGUGAGUAACCUGCCCUUGACUUUGGGAUAACUUCAGGAAACUGGGGCUAAUACCGGAUAGGAGCUCCUGCUGCAUGGUGGGGGUUGGAAAGUUUCGGCGGUUGGGGAUGGACUCGCGGCUUAUCAGCUUGUUGGUGGGGUAGUGGCUUACCAAGGCUUUGACGGGUAGCCGGCCUGAGAGGGUGACCGGCCACAUUGGGACUGGAAUACGGCCCAGACUCCAACGGGAGGCAGCAGUGGGGAAUAUUGCACAAUGGGCGGAAGCCUGAUGCAGCAACGCCGCGUGCGGGAUGACGGCCUUCGGGUUGUAAACCGCUUUCGCCUGUGACGAAGCGUGAGUGACGGUAAUGGGUAAAGAAGCACCGGCUAACUACGUG
rnacentral:rRNA from 1 species